rnacentral:lncRNA from 1 species
UGCUCUUGACUGCUGAACUCUUUCUCCGGCCCCUGUAGCUGCUUCUCAGAUUGCAUAAAGAUCAUUGUCACCAAGCAGAGCUGAAUAGAGAGCAACACAAGGCGCAAGCUUUAAGCUGUUCCAGGCUUUGAACCGUGUCUACUCUCCACCUCUCAUCAGUGUUGCCGUUAUCCUGAGCAUGGGUCUUGCCCUUCUACCUCAAGAGCAUCGCCUGCCACCAGCUCGAAGACACGGGACAAUCUGGAGCUUCAAACCCAUGUGACAGUCUACUCUGGUCUGGACCUCUGUCCAUUCUCUCUGCUCUAACACAGAGUUCUAGAAAAUAUGCAAUUCUGUAGAGACAUGGUUACCAGAAAAUGGAGCAGCCUGGCUCAUUUAAAAGUCUUGCAGUGAUAAAAUGCUCGGACGGAAGCAACAUGGAGGAGACAGGGUUUGUUCUAGCACACAGCUCUGGUGUGGAACUGUGUGGAGAAGCCACAGGUAGCAGAGAUAAAAUAGAGAUUUUAAAAGAUGUUUACUCGGGAGUAACAGAGGGGAUUGUUUGCUAGCUGCGGGAAGGAUUAGAACUGCCCAGCCUUUGGGCUAGUAAAGGUGUAUUAAAAGUAACUGGUGUGUGUGGGGAGGGUGGGGUGAAGCGAGCACAUGUGACCAUCCGGGAGCAACGUGGUUAGCCAAAGUACCGCUACACAUGCCUGUUUGUGGUCCUAGAAUUUGGAAAGGGGGAGGGAGCUUGAAAAGUUAGAUAUCAAUGCUCUCUCUCUCUCUCUCUCUCUCUCUCUCUCUCUCUCUCUGUGUGUGUGUGUGUGUGUGUGUGUGUAUAGAACCCGUUUUUAAUCCCAGCACUCAAGAGGCAGAAGCAGAGGGAGGUGGUCUCUGAAUUUGAGGCCAGCCUGGUUUACACAAUAUAUUCCAGGUCAGCCAGAGCUACAAAAAUCAUCUUGAAAACCCUAAAGAGGUCUGGUGAGAUGGCUUAGUGGUUGGGAGCACUGACUGCUCUUCCAGGGGUCCUGAGUUCAAUUCCCACCAACCACAUGGUGGCUUACUGUAAUGGGAUCCAGUGCCCUCUUCUGGGGUGUCUGAAGACGGCAACUGUGUACUCACAUGCAUACAAAUACAUAAAUAAAUAAAUUGUUUAAAAAGUUGACUAUAUAUAAAAAAAGGGGGGGGGAGAAAUCCUAAGGAAAAAAGAAAAAAGAAAAGAAAAAUUUGAGGUCAGUUUGAAAACCCUCUUAAAGAAGAUUAGGGGAAAAAAAGUAAACAAAGGCUGGGGGUGUAGUUUGGUUGGUACAGUGCUGGCCAGCAGCCAGAAUGUCCUGGAUUCAGCUAAUCUUUUGGUUGCCAAAACCAGGCAUGGUGAAAGAGCUCUAGCCAGCAGCCAUGGGUGUGGGAGGAUCAGAAGUUCAAGGUCAUUCGCAGACUUCGUGGAGAGUUUGAGGCUACUCUGGGCUUUAAGAGACCCUGACCCUGUCUCAAAAUAAACAAAAGAGAAAUAUCAAAAAAUAAAAUAUUUCAGAGAAAUAACUAAGUUUCUUAUAAAAAUUAAUUCAUACAUCUUAUGCAUAUGAAUAUUUUGUAUGUACGUCUAUUUGUCACAUUCUUGCUUGGUGCCCCAGAAGGCCAGAAGAGUUCAUCAGAUCCUCGGGAUCUGGAGUUACAGAUGGUUAUGAGCCACCAUGUGGGUGCUUGGAAUUGAACUUGGGCCCUAUGGAAGAACAGCCAGUACACUUAAUCACUGAGCCAUCUCCCCAGACCCCUAAAUAUCUUAUUGCACAAACUCUCAUUAAGUCUUUAAGCAUGACCAUGCUACAAGUUUUGCCUUCCACAGAUAGUUACUGUUUUACUCUGAUUAUCUACUGCAAUCUGCUCUGAGCAAUACUCCACACACACACACACACACACACAAAAAUAAUAAUAAAUAAAAUAACUGUCAGUGAGCUGGCAAGGCGGUAUAUGUCUGCAUCGUCAGGACUCAGGAAGCAGUGGCAGGUACAUGGCGAGUUUGGAGCUAGCUUGGACUAUACACAGAGUUCUAGGCCAGCCUACGCUAUAGCUCUAGAAUGAACUCCUGCUUUCAAAAGCAGGGAAUGUUUCAGAGACUCAAGGAAAGGAACUUGGCAGGCAGGCACCCAGGGUUCACAGUGUGGUGGCUGUGAGCCUGGCCCCUACAGUUAGGACUUCCAACUACAGCAAGAAGCUCAUUCAUCUUAUAAAGCUGCUGCCUUGAGGUCAAGCGGAGCAAGCACAGGCUAACUGCCUUGCAGUGGGCAACUGAUGAAGGGGGAUUAUUGCCUUUAGUUUGGGUAUUUUUUAAUUCUUUGAUGUUUUGUAGCGGAGGUGGGGGAGGGAGUUAUAAGGAACUUUUUUUUUUAAUCCUAAGCUAUCUAUAACUCAUGGCAAUGAUUAUACCUUUGUAAACAGAAAUGAAACACAUUUUUCUCUUUGCUUGAUCCUUUCCAAAUUCAGAAAUUCUGAUUGAAUAUUCCUAUUUCCAUGGUAAUCUUAUUAUUUGCAACACAUUCAGUGAGAACGCGUCCCCUUUGUGACAGAGUAUAACAGGAAAGUGGUAGAAACAUCAGAUAUGACCACACGGUUAUAAUAACUUACUGCAGAACUGGGCGAGGUGACCUUAGGUUAGGGUCGCCUCCCCUAAUGCACCUCCCUGACAAAGCACCCAACAGGGAUCAGACAGGUUAAGGGAGUUUGAAAGUGUAUUCAGGAGAAGGGCAGUGUAUCUUUUGUGCCACCUAGGAAAAGAAGCAUUCAAGAGAAAGAACUAGUCCCAAGCCUUGUUCUGGUAUGGCUUCCUAGUGUCAAGGGGCUUUGUGUGUAGUAUCUGUGUGUGUUAUUCACACAAAGGCCAGAAGACUACAUACAGAAAUCAACUCUCUCUUUCUACUGAACUCAGGUCAUCAAGCUUGGUGGCAGACAUCUUCAAUCACUGAGCCAAGUCUGGUCCCAUAGUAUUUUUUACGAACGAGCCUGAAAUUCACAGAUCCGACUGUGUUGGCUGGCCAGGCAUGUCCAUGGAUCCCCCUGUGUCUGCCCUGACAGAACUGGGCUUACAAGCUACCUUGCCCAACUUUUACGUGGAUGCUGGGGAUUUCAGUUUAGGGUCUCACAUUUGCAUAGCAAGAACUUUACCUCACUGAGCCGUUUCCCUGACUUCCUAGGAAGCAUUUAAAAAAUAUAGUCUGAAUCCAUAUGGAAAAUACCAGCCAAGAAAACUCUAAAUACCAAUGUGGCUCUGUACCAUUUGUGUUUUAUUGAUGUAGUGACCAGGACAACUCUAAUUAGACCAGAAUUAUUUUGCAAACAGUAUCAGAGUAGAGUAACCACACAUGUGUCACAGGAAAUUGUCCCUGGGCUGCACUGGGUCUUCCUGCUUUGAAGGGGGUAGUGGGGAAAAGGUGGACAGAGGUUCUCUCUCUGGAAUGAACUUUAUAGUCAGGCUUCCUGUCAAGUUCUCUUCUUUAGCAGGCUGUCCCCAGGUUCCUAACCUGCACUCAUUGUUCUAAGAAUUAAGUUGAGUCAUUCAGAGGCAAUCUGACUAUCUAAUUAAAUUCCUCCUUCUGUCCUUUUGGCACCUGAUAACUAUAGCCCAUCUUCUACAAGAAUCCUACUGAGUCAGUUUAACUAGGAGCCCUUGAUGUAAUUUUCCAUUCUCUGGCCUUUCUGUUCACAGAAGCACUCACUCUUUGGUUAUGAAUCCUGCCCUUGUUGUGUUUGGAGGAGAGCCCAGUCUUCUCCCCACUUGUAAUAAUCUUGACACCUUUCACAGUGGUUCUGAACAAAGUCUUUUAUACACUUAGCAUGUGUCAAUAUUUUCUUUAGCAGGACUUUGGGUCCCUAACCUGCAACUCAGCACUCAGUCCAUCAUGGGCUUUGCUAGUCUCUGUGACUUCUCCAGGGCAGGAAAGUGACAGGUUUCUGCGCAAGGGAGCCCGAGGUACCUGGUUCAGGAUGGAGAGGGCACUUGAGAGGCGUCAAAAGCAAGCACAGUUAGAGGACAUCAGCGAUGUUAAAACCCCACGAGGGUCAACAGUAGCCCAGGCAAAAUAAAGGAGCCUGAAGUGGAAAAACAGAAAUGGAACAAGACGUUUGUUCUGGAGCACGUGAGAUUGUCCUUCUAAGACAUUUCCAGAAGUAUUCAAAGGAAGAUUUAAUGGGAAAUCAUUAUGCAAAAGAGUCAGUAAUAUAUUUUAGUUUCAAAAAGUACGGAGCGUGACGCCUGUCAAUUAUACCUUCUGCAAAGGUGAGUGGCGGUUGUCCUUGCUGUUCCAAAAUGCAAAGAGAAACAAACAAACAAACAAACAAGCAAACCAGCUACUCCUAUUCCGCACUCCAAACACCAAGCAGAAAUGCUUCUGGGACAAACUGAGCUUCAUUCUUUAUGAAAAUGAAAACACUUCUUUCUGUGCACUAGGAAAAUGUUCUGCCUCUGAGCUGCAAAACCAGCACCAAACUUGAAAAGUUUGUGCAUCAAAGGAAAAAGGCAACCUACAGGAUGGGGGAGAAUAUUUGCAGGACACAUGUCCUGGAAGGAAUACAUAUUUAGACUGAAUAAAAUGAGUAAGAGGAGGGAUAGGGAGUUCGUGUUCAAUGUUGAGAGCUUGGGACAGUUGAGAAAACGCUCCGGAGUGUUCUGCAGAUGAAUGAUGGUGACGACUGCAUCAGUGUGAAUGUCCUUAACGCCGUCAAAAAUUGGUUAUAAUGGCAAAUUUUAUGCUACAUAUGUUUUACUACAAUAAAAAUGCCAGGAAAAUCUAACUGCUCCAAAUCCUGAAUUUAUUAACCCAAUAAAUUAGGAGAUGGUUAUUGACCUAUAAAUGGAUUUGUCAAUUUUUAAAAUGAUUUCCUUUAAAUUGAAUUCUUUCCUAGAGCUUUAUUGUCUCUUCACAAACCAUUAAACACUUGUUAAAGUGUUCAGAGAGGGCUGAGAUGGAGGAGGAAGUGAAAACCAAACAAACAGAUGAGGGACCUUCCCCAAAUGAUGUCUGCUAACAGGCUUCUUGGGUAUUCUAUUUAUAUAGAUUUUACAAGUGUUUUAUUUGAGAGGAAAAAUCCCUAGACCUUACAUAGUACAAUGAACUUCUUAUGCCUGUCAGCUAGAUUUAUUAAUUUUUAACGAGGUGUAUUACUUUUAAAAGCUAUCUAUUUACUAUUGGGGGAGGGAGAAGGACAAAGGACAUCUUGCAGAAGUCUGGUCUCUCCUGCUAUGUGGGUUCUGGAGAUAGGAAAUCAGGCAGGUUGUCAGGCCUAGAAGCAAAGGCCUGUCUGCACUGAGCCAUCUUACUUGUCUUAUUUUGUUACUUUUGAUGACCUAUUUUAGACAUCACUAUUCUAUAGCCCUAAGUAUAACUUCAAGUAUGUAUCUUCCACAAUGACUUUAUGACCAUGAAAUCAAUUCAAGAAAUUUAACAUGUAUGCAGUUCUAUCCAGCGUACAUACAGAUUUCUCAUCCCCCCUUUUACUGUAGUUUAUAGAAAAAGCAAUUCUCUUCCAUAUCUAGAGUUUGACAAGGAAUAUGCAUUGCAUUUGGUUUCUGUGUUCUUUAAUCUCUUGUUGUACAGAACUUCAACCUUUCAUGACAGGUUGAACAAUUUUGGAUCAUACAGGCUGUCAUGGUUUGAAUAUGUUUGGCCCAGGGAGUGGUACUGUUAGGGGUGUGGUCUUCUUGGAAUAGGUGUGUCACCGUGGGCGUGGGCUUUAAGACCCUCAUCCUUAGCUUCUGGAAGUCAGUCUUCCACUAGCAACCUUCAGAUGAAGAUGUAGAACUCUCACCAUCUCCUGCACUAUACCUGCCUGGAUAUCGCCAUGUUCCUGCCUUGAUGAUUAUGGACUGAACCUCUGAACCUGUAAGCCAGCCCCAAUUAAAUUUGUCCUUAUAAGAGUUACCUUGGUCAUGGUGUCUGUUCACAGCAGUAAAACCCUAACUAAGACACAGGCCAAUUACAGAAUGUCUCUUUUUGGUGUGUGCAGUGUUAAAGUUUGAAGCACAAGCCUAAUGCUUGUUAGACAAGCACUCUACCGCUGCUCUACAUCAGCAGCUCAGUGUGCCUCUUGUCUUGAUGGGCUCAUUGUUUUUUAUGACCCAGUGCAUUGGGGUGAGCAGCUCACACAGGUACGAAGGGGUCCCUCUCAGAGCUUAACAUCAGGGAACUCAAUGUUGGUUUGUCUGUUCUAUUUCAGCUGAGCUAGUAUCUGGCAGUUCCCCACAACCCCCAUCAAGUUACCACUUUUUUCUUUGUAAUUGUAAUUUGCAAAGAAAUAUUUGCAAGAUUAAGUAAUAGACUACACAACGUGUUUUAGCUUCCACUGAGCAUUCAGCCUGAACUGUUUUAUAAAGUUAUGAAAUGAUAGAUUUCCAACUUAAUAAUUAUUUUAAAGACUUAUUUUAUUUUUAGUUCUGCAUGUAUGCCUGUGUGUGCACGUGUGUACCUAUGUAUCUGUAUGGUUAUGUGCACAUGAAUGCAGAUGUCCAAGGAGAAGAGGCCAGACACAUUGGAUCCCUGGUGCUCAAGUGGGAGGUGGCUGUCAGCUGCUGUAGGAAGGUGAUGGGAACUCAGCUUGAGUCCUUUGCAAGAACAGCAUGAGCUCUUAAACACAGAGCCACAUCUUCAGUCCCUCUCUUAUUUUUUUAAAAAUUAUUCUCUCUCUGUGUAUGUGUGUGUAUACAGAGGUCAGAGGAUCAUUUUUGUAAAAUUAGUUCUCUCUACCUUUUUUUGUGGGCUCUGGGGACUAAACUCAAGUUGUUGGGAUUUUGUGACAAGUGCUGUAUCCACUGAGCCCUCUCACAUGCCCUUAAAUGUUAUUUUAAAUAAUAGCAAAUGAGUACGUUCAAGCAUACGAGAAUAAGCAUGUCCUAUUGAUUUGAAUAUGCAAAAGUAUGCCAAUUUUUUAAAUCUCUAUUACCAAGUGGACAAGUAUUCCAUUUUAUCUCCAAAAGUAAAGAUUUCUUUUAGAUACAGUCAUGUGGAUUAUACAACUUGACUGAAGCCAUGUCUCCAAGAUACAUACCUAGAGGGUAAAGGGAAUGCUUUAAAGGAGCGUGAUUAUGAAUAUCCAAGCUGAAAAUAAACACUAAUUACUAACAAAAAGGAUUACUGAGAAAAAUAUGGGUUGGUUUUCAGUACUUGACUCUGUAAAGUUAUUUCUUUUCUUAUUUAGUUUUUAUUCAUAAUCAUAAACUUAACUUUGCCAUCCAGCUAGACUUGAAGGGGAAUGAGGAAAAUAUGGAACCCAAAGAACUUGAGCAGAGAUUACAGGGUAUUUCAAGCAGAUGGGGUAGGGAUGCUCUCCUGCGCUACAGAAGGAAUGGUUGGAUGGGUAAAAUGCCUGCAAGUCAAAAGAAAUUAGAGUUAUCCACAGUCGGAAAUGGUCUUGCUGGUCUUUCCAUUCCUGGACCCAAAACACUCCAUGGCUUCCACAAUGUUCAUGCCUUCUUUCACCUUCCCAGACACCACAUGCUUGCCAUCCAGCCACUUAGUCUUGGCAGUGCAGAUAAAAAACUGGGAACCGUUUGUGUUGGUCCAGUAUUUGCCAUGGACAAGAUGCCAGGACCUGUAUGCUUCAGGAUGAAGAUCUCAUCCUCAAAUUUCUCUCCAUAGAUGGAUCUGCCGCCAGUGCCAUUAUGGCAUGUAAAGUCACCACCCUGGCACAUGAAUCCUGGAAUAAUUCUGUGAAAGGAGGAACCCUUCUAGUAAAAUCCUUUCUCUCCAGUGCUCAGAGCAUGAAAGUUUCCCGCUGUCUUUGGAACUUUGUCUGCAAACAGCUGGAAGGAGACUCUUCAAGGGCUCGUCAUCGGCCGUGAUGUCAGAGAACACGGUGGGGUCGACUGUGGCUACAGCAAGAGGACCAACGGUACUGUUGCUCUAGCUACAGGAAUAAUCCUGGGCAGCACUUGUUGACCUUGGUCACUGUCAAGGGAAGAUCGGCUGUUCCCACUGAGGGCAUCUUGAUGGAUUAAGGUGAUCAGCUGAUCAAUGUGAGGGGACAGAUGGGAGCUAGGAACUGUCUCGGUACUGAGUCAUUUUUCAUCUAAUGUGCAAGAAACCCAAAGAGCACAUCAAACAGCGAACUACGCCUAAGCUAUCCAUGUUUCUCCUGCUUCUUCUGAGAGGGUGAUUUACACGUAGCUCAACACUCGAGUGUUGCAGUAUCGAGUGACUGCAACCAAACAAUGGAACAUGCAUCGUGCCUGUUGACAGAGCCUGCAGUUGGCUUGGAACCGGGACCAUGCUGCAUUCGACAUCGUUCCUGGUGGCUGACUUGUUCCCAUAGAAUUAAAUGCUAGGCAUCCAGAAGCUGACUGUGCAUCUGAUGGGCUCACUAACAUUCAGGAACAGGUUGGCCUCAGACUUCAUCAAUGGAAAGUGUAGGCAUAGGACAAAAAAAAGAGCACGUUUGAAAGACUACAUUUUCAUGAAAUUGGAAAUGCUACAUGCAAGCUGCAGAUGCUGAUUGCAGAGUCAGAAGACAUGGCCGUCAGUGUUAGGACUCUGCCUUAUUCUGCUAUUUCUCCUUGACGACCUACAGUUUGCAUUGUGGGUGGCAUUCAUUAACGAGGGCAGUAAAAACAUGGAGAAAACAUUGCAAGCUCUCCUUCGUGUUUCGCUCACUGGCCAAGUAGCUAACCAACUAGGUGUUCAGGCUCCCAUGUGUCUCAAUAUGAUGUGGCUCCUUCCAGUAGCAACCAUCCUGAGCAGAGACCUUUGUUCUAAUUUAAAAAUUAGACAUGAUAUAGAGCUUACCACACAUUUUUCCCCCUGAAGAUUAAAGAUCUUCAUGAAGGUACUGGCUUAAAAGACAUCAACCCCAAGCCUUUCGAAGGAUAUGCACUUGAGAUUGCCAUACUCGAUGGUGCGUCCAAUUAACUUAGAAAUACCCUUGACAUUUCUCAUCCGUGAAGAGAAGCUUUAGGUGACAGUUUUCAUGGUGUGGGUACUCUCGGUGCCUAAUUUGCUUUUUUUUCUUGUUUUCAAGCCUGAAAGGGAAAUAGCCUUGGCUUUCAGCUCUGGAGCGCGAUGCCCUCCUUACGAGUAUUCAGCUACUGUCUGAACCAUUGUACUUGCCUUCCCCUCCAUACCCCUUUUUCCCCAAAGUCCCGUUGAUAGCUCAUU